rnacentral:tRNA from 1 species
GCGCCCGUAGCUCAGAGGACAGAGCGUUGGCCUCCGGAGCCAAAGGUCGCAGGUUCGAAUCCUGCCGGGCGCGCCA